rnacentral:rRNA from 1 species
GAUGAACGCUAGCGGCAGGCUUAAUGCAUGCAAGUCGUGGGGCAGCAUGAGUAGCAAUACUUGAUGGCGACCGGCAAACGGGUGCGGAACACGUACACAACCUUCCGAUAAGUGGGGAAUAGCCCAGAGAAAUUUGGAUUAAUACCCCGUAACAUAUAGAGUAGGCAUCUUCUUUAUAUUAUAGUUUAGGCGCUUAUUGAUGGGUGUGCGUCUGAUUAGGUAGUUGGCGGGGUAACGGCCCACCAAGCCUACGAUCAGUAGCUGAUGUGAGAGCAUGAUCAGCCACACGGGCACUGGGACACGGGCCCGACUCCUACGGGAGGCAGCAGUAAGGAAUAUUGGACAAUGGGCGAAAGCCUGAUCCAGCCAUGCCGCGUGAAGGAUUAAGGUCCUCUGGAUUGUAAACUUCUUUUAUUUGGGACGAAAAAAGGGAAUUCUUUCCCACUUGACGGUACCAAGUGAAUAAGCACCGGCUAACUCCGUGCCAGCCGCCGCCGUAA